rnacentral:rRNA from 1 species
GAACGCUCACCGGGGUUUCGGCUCUGGUGGGAGUGGCGCACGGGUGAGUAGCGCGUGGGAACCUGCCCUUUUGUGGGGGAUAACCGAGGGAAACUUCGGCUAAUACCGCAUGCGCCCCUGGGGCGACCUGGGGGGAAAGAUUGAUCGCAGAAGGAGGGGCCCGCGUCGGAUUAGGUAGUUGGUGGGGUAACGGCCUACCAAGCCGAUGAUCCGUAGCUGGUCUGAGAGGAUGAUCAGCCACACUAGGACUGAGACACGGCCCAGACUCCUACGGGAGGCAGCAGUGGGGAAUAUUGGACAAUGGGCGCAAGCCUGAUCCAGCAAUGCCGCGUGAGUGAUGAAGGCCUUCGGGUUGUAAAGCUCCUUCACCCGCGACGAUGAUGACGGUAGCGGGAGAAGAAGCCCCGGCUAACUUCGUG